AAAUUAAUUCUCACUUAAGAUUCAGCCGACCUCUAAACUUAAACCAAAUUAAAAAUAAGAAUAAUUACACCCGAAAAUAACCUUGUUCCCAGAAAUUUUUCGUCUAAAUUAACUUUAAAAUAAAUCGACAUGAAUCGCACCACAUUUCGUGUAACCCUGAUUAUUUUGGCGUUUGGAGUCAUAUUUCCAAAUUUGACGGAAAGUGCGAGUUGCUACGAAGCCUGGAGUCGUUGUACGGGAUGGAGUUCGGGAGCGACAGGAAUUUUAUGGAAAACUUGCGCUGGUCGCUGCCAACAGUGUCAGGGACGCGCCUCAGGAUCUUGUGUCCCGGUUAAAGGAGAUUGUGGUGCUCGCUCGCAGUGUCAAUGUUCCGGAAGAAAUGUUCCAAAAAGCACGAACCCUCUGGACAUCGCAACAUGCUUUAUGGGACUGUAAAAUCCGGCCAGUUUUAGCCAAUUGUAAACGGUCAUUCCUGAUUGAUUACACAGAUAUUUUAUGUAUCUAAAUAUUAGGGGAACGUUCAUAUUUAUAUUAUGCCAUCAAAAAACCCUGAUUUGUAGAUCAUAAAUAAAGUAAUACACUAACCCGUUAUGAUUAAGGGGAAUCAUAAA